rnacentral:rRNA from 1 species
UACGGAAGGCAGCAGUGGGGAAUCUUGCGCAAUGGGCGAAAGCCUGACGCAGCGACGCCGCGUGAGGGAGGAAGGCCUUCGGGUUGUAAACCCUCUUUUCAGGAGGGACGAAGCUACUCGGGUGAAUAGCCCAGAGGGUGACGGUACCUCCAGAAGAAGCCCCGGCUAACUACGUGCCAGCAGCCGCGGUAAUACGUAGGGGGCAAGCGUUGUCCGGAUUUACUGGGCGUAAAGAGCGUGUAGGCGGCCAAGCAGGUCCGUUGUGAAAACUGGAGGCUUAACCUCCAGACGUCGACGGAAACCGCGUGGCUAGAGUCCGGAAGAGGAGAGUGGAAUUCCUGGUGUAGCGGUGAAAUGCGCAGAUAUCAGGAAGAACACCAAUGGCGAAAGGCAGCUCUCUGGGACGGUACUGACGCUGAGACGCGAAAGCGUGGGGAGCGGAACAGGGACUUAGGAUAC